UGCCGUGUGAUGAACUCGGAUUAAACUACUCACGACGGUCGUCUGAGUCGCCUUUUGGUGACCUGAUGCAGUGAUCCAAAUUGUCUGAUGGCA